AUUGAACGCUGGCGGCAGGCUUAACACAUGCAAGUCGAGCGGGGUGAUGGUGCUUGCACUAUCACUUAGCGGCGGACGGGUGAGUAAUGCUUAGGAAUCUGCCUAUUAGUGGGGGACAACAUCGCGAAAGGGAUGCUAAUACCGCAUACGUCCUACGGGAGAAAGCAGGGGAUCACUUGUGACCUAGCGCUAAUAGAUGAGCCUAAGUCGGAUUAGCUAGUUGGUGGGGUAAAGGCCUACCAAGGCGACGAUCUGUAGCGGGUCUGAGAGGAUGAUCCGCCACACUGGGACUGAGACACGGCCCAGACUCCUACGGGAGGCAGCAGUGGGGAAUAUUGGACAAUGGGGGGAACCCUGAUCCAGCCAUGCCGCGUGUGUGAAGAAGGCCUUAUGGUUGUAAAGCACUUUAAGCGAGGAGGAGGCUCUUUUGGUUAAUACCCAAGAUGAGUGGACGUUACUCGCAGAAUAAGCACCGGCUAACUCUGUGCCAGCAGCCGCGGUAAAAC
rnacentral:rRNA from 1 species